ACGAACAAACUAGAGAAGACCGAGAUGGUUGGGUGGACAUCAAUUGGAAUAAUAUUCCUAAAAAUAACCAGCAUAAUUUCGUAAAGGCUAAUCCAGGGCAAACUACAGCUUAUGGUAUCGGUUAUGAUUACGGCAGUGUGAUGCAUUAUUCAGCGUACGCGUUUGCCAUAGACCCCAACCAAAAAACUAUUAUUACUAAGAAUCCAGCAAAUGCAAAUAUCGGUCAGAGAGAUGGCUUUAGCUCCUCAGACAUUGCAAAAAUCAAGAAAAUGUACGGAUGCCAAUAAUUUGAUUGU